GAUGAACGCUGGCGGCGUGCCUAAUACAUGCAAGUCGAGCGAACGGACGAGAAGCUUGCUUCUCUGAUGUUAGCGGCGGACGGGUGAGUAACACGUGAUAACCUACCUAUAAGACUGGGGUAACUUCGGGAAACCGGAGCUAAUACCGGAAGAUAUUAUGAACCGCAUGGUUCAAAAGUGAAAGACGGUCUUUCUGUCACUUAUAGAUGGAUCCGCGCUGCAUUAGCUAGUUGGUAAGGUAACGGCUUACCAAGGCAACGAUGCAUAGCCGACCUGAGAGGGUGAUCGGCCACACUGGAACUGAGACACGGUCCAGACUCCUACGGGAGGCAGCAGUAGGGAAUCUUCCGCAAUGGGCGAGAGCGUGACGGAGCAACGCCGCGUGAGUGAUGAAGGUCUUCGGAUCGUAAAACUCUGUUAUUAGGGAAGAACAUAUGUGUAAGUAACUGUGCACAUCUUGACGGUACCUAAUCAGAAAGCCACGGCUAACUACGUG
rnacentral:rRNA from 1 species